AGCGGCGAACGGGUGAGUAACACGUGAGCAACCUGCCCCUGACUCUGGGAUAAGCGGUGGAAACGCCGUCUAAUACCGGAUACGACCUUCCGCCUCAUGGUGGAGGGUGGAAAGUUUUUUCGGUCAGGGAUGGGCUCGCGGCCUAUCAGCUUGUUGGUGGGGUAACGGCCUACCAAGGCGAUUACGGGUAGCCGGCCUGAGAGGGCGACCGGCCACACUGGGACUGAGACACGGCCCAGACUCCUGCGGGAGGCAGCAGUGGGGAAUAUUGCGCAAUGGGCGAAAGCCUGACGCAGCGACGCCGCGUGGGGGAUGACGGCCUUCGGGUUGUAAACCUCUUUUACCACCAACGCAGGCUCCGGGUUCUCUCGGGGUUGACGGUAGGUGGGGAAUAAGGACCGGCUAACUACGUGCCAGCAGCCGCGGUAAUACGUAGGGUCCGAGCGUUGUCCGGAAUUAUUGGGCGUAAAGAGCUCGUAGGCGGCGUGUCGCGUCUGCUGUGAAAGACCGGGGCUUAACUCCGGU
rnacentral:rRNA from 1 species